rnacentral:rRNA from 1 species
CGUACACUCCUGCGGGAGGCAGCAGUGGGGAAUUUUGGACAAUGGGCGAAAGCCUGAUCCAGCCAUGCCGCGUGCAGGAUGAAGGCCUUCGGGUUGUAAACUGCUUUUGUACGGAACGAAACGGCCUUUUCUAAUAAAGAGGGCUAAUGACGGUACCGUAAGAAUAAGCACCGGCUAACUACGUGCCAGCAGCCGCGGUAAUACGUAGGGUGCAAGCGUUAAUCGGAAUUACUGGGCGUAAAGCGUGCGCAGGCGGUUAUGUAAGACAGUUGUGAAAUCCCCGGGCUCAACCUGGGAACUGCAUCUGUGACUGCAUAGCUAGAGUACGGUAGAGGGGGAUGGAAUUCCGCGUGUAGCAGUGAAAUGCGUAGAUAUGCGGAGGAACACCGAUGGCGAAGGCAAUCCCCUGGACCUGUACUGACGCUCAUGCACGAAAGCGUGGGGAGCAAACAGGAUUAGAAACCCUGGUAGUCCCAUG